GACGUGACUUCAGAGUUUGAUCCUGGCUCAGGAUGAACGCUGGCGGCGUGUUUAACACAUGCAAGUCGAGCGAGAAGCUUUCCAGUAGAUUCUUCGGAUGAUACAGGAUUGCGGAAAGCGGCGGACGGGUGAGUAACGCGUAGGCAACCUGCCCCCUGCAGAGGGAUAGCCUCGGGAAACCGGGAUUAAAACCUCAUAAUGCGGCACCGAGACAUCUCGGAGCCGCCAAAGAUUUAUCGGCAGGGGAUGGGCCUGCGUCUGAUUAGUUAGUUGGUGGGGUAACGGCCUACCAAGGCGACGAUCAGUAGCCGACCUGAGAGGGUGAUCGGCCACAUUGGAACUGAGACACGGUCCAA
rnacentral:rRNA from 1 species